GGAUCAAAUCAGGAGCCAGGGGUCAGGAACACACCAGAGAUCACACGGAACAGACACUCAAGAACCAGGGGUCAAACUCGCAGCCAGAAGUUGAACCAGUAGAAGUUGAACCAGACUGUAUGCUCCGUGGGACCAGGGACCUGUAAAGCACUAUGGACACUGACAGCAUGAUAGGCUGGUUCUCUUAAUGAUAAACUGGGUACUAAAAAUGUGAUUAAGGUUGCAGAGGGUCUUUUGGCAGGAGAGUUUCCAGAUUGGAGUGUCAAGGACAAAUCAGCAUUUUUGGCUGUGUCAGUUUCAGACUGAAUUCUUCCAGGAACUCCAACUCAUACUGUUAUCACAAGUUGCUCUACUCAGUUUUUCAAAAAGAGACACUCCAAGGCAAGAUACAGAUAUUGCCAAAUAUAUGAAUUUGAAUUAACAGCCACUGAAAUCCAUAGAAAUUGCACAAUCAACUCCAAGUUUGCGGCAAACAGUAUUAGCUUUUCAGAAAGAACGUACAAAGUAAUUGAUUUCACCAGGAGAGACAUGUCUAGAAAGCAAUCCAUCUCACCUCAUGCUCAUCCUUCUGUUUCAAGCCAUAUUUCUCAAACUUGUGUUACAAGACUGCUAGUGAUCAAGGGGAAGAUCUGCCUUCAACUCUUUAAUUGUUCUGUUUAAAAAUCCUUAUGUGUUUUGUCGGGUUGUAAGCCUUCUAGAGAUGUUAUGGUUUGGCUGUAUAUAAAUUUAAUAAA